rnacentral:lncRNA from 1 species
GAACUUUAUGACUCGGGUUCCAGACUGAGGUGCAACCAGUUCUUGUGAUAAUUUACUCUUUGUUUUUUCCUAAAGCUUUCUCUUUCCUUUUGAGAAAUGUUUAUUGAUUUUGGAAACAAGGAGAUGAAGGACAGUGACUUUCUAAAUAGGUACUAUUAUAAGUGCCUGUGCAUUAGUAGAAAAUAAGAGCGGGAUCAGCAAACAAGAUGGAAGAGGAGAUUUCAGUGGUAAUGGUGCAGAGAAGAGCAGACUAAGGUGAUUCUAAUCAAAAGGAGGACCUCGUUGGGAAGUGCCACCCUGAGGACAUCAUUAAAUACUUGAUUAGAAGCAUAACUGAGGACCCACAUUCCAAGACACAACUCUGAUUCCAGAAAAACCCAUCAUGU